CCACAGCAGUGACAACACUGUAUCCUUAACCUACUGAACCACUAAGGAACUCCUUCCUUCCUUUUCUUAAUAUUUUUAACCAUCCGUUACAUGCUGGACACUGUAAGAUGAAUAUCUCACAUUUACAUGUACGUGUACCUAUUCUUUCCACAUAUUUGUGAUUUUUCACUAUAGCCAGGAAUUUACGUCUAGUCGUAAAAAAUGGCUUACCUUACAUUUCUUGUCAUAAAGCUCCUUCCCUCUACAUGAUUUCAUGUGUUCUAUAAUUAACUUAAAAGUCACAUUUUAUGAUGAGAAAGCUAAAAUGAAGUCUUUUUAAAGACCUGCCCUAAAUGCAGUUAACUAACAAGAUGACUACUUCACUCCUCAAUCUAUGGUCCACUGAGAUGAUAGAUAGACGGGUAAAUGGAUGCAUGGAUGGGUGAAUAGAUGAUGGAUGGAUGGAUAGAUAGAUCAUAGAUGGAUGGAUGGAUGGAUCAAUGAAUAGAUGAAGGAUGGAUGGAUGGAUGGGUGAAUAGAUGAUAGAUGAAUAGAUGAUGCAUAGAUGAUGGAUGGAUGGAUGGAUGGAUGGAUGGAUAUAAAAGAUAGGUGAAUAGUUCCCCACAUUCUCAUACUUGGUAUAAGAAGAGAUAGGGAAGAAGUCAGACUAAAUAGUGGUUUCGGCACUAUGUCUCAUCAUCAUAGUAUCCACUUCAAAUUGGAGAGACUUGUCAAACCAAUCAUCCAGAAAAAAAAAAAAAAGUGCCGUCUCAAUUUUGUCAUUCAAAUAAAUGUCCAUUUGAGUAUUGUCUCUUUUUAAAGAACACAGAGCUCAUUUUGACAUUUUGCAUAAUGGCUAAAAUAUUUUGGCCAUUUUGUAGAUGCUACAGGCUAAGCUGUGUCCCCCCACCCCAUAUUUAUAUACUGAAGUCCUAACCUUCAGGACCUCAGAGUGGAACUGUAUUUGGAGAUGAGGUUUUAAAAGAGGUAAUUAAGUUAAAAUGAGGUCAUUAGGGUGGGCCCAGAUCCAAUACGACUAGAAUCCUCCCAAGAAGAGGAAAUGAGGACACAGACUCAGAGGGAGACCAUGUAAGGACACAGGGAGGAGGCGGCCAUCUACAGACCAAGGAGGGCGGCCUUGAAGGAACCAGCCCUGCUGACACCCUGAUCUUAAACUUCUAGCCUCCAGAAUUCUAGGUGCUGAGUUUCGGUGGAUGUUCAGAUGAAUGUCUACAGUCAAUGGAUGAACGUGCUCUGAUGGUGACAAGGAGAACUCCCAGGCACCUUGACAGCAGUGACUGUGAACCAUUUCUGCCCAGCUCACAGACAGACCUCCACAACGGCUCACUGCCACCAGAGCUUUUCUUUCAACUGAUGAAAAACUGAAAGAAAAAGCUAAGUCUCCUCCCCAUGUGAUAUAGAAGAGAUGUUGGCACAUUCGCAUUUUCAUAAGGAAAAACAAGUUGAACUGCGGCAACUCUGGAAGUCAGUCUCAUCAACUGCACCCUCCUUUCGCACACGGCAGACUCCUGCGCGCACCCACACUCCUUACGUGGGAACCUCGUCAUGUAUGGAACGUGUAAUAUCUGUCAGCGCUGCCCUUUAAUGAGCGAUUCCUAUGAGCCAGGCAGGGGGUCAGAGGGCAACAUGCCCCCUGCCUCCCGUGAGGAAACUGAGGCUUGAGAAGUUUAAGCACAUGUUUUUAAAAACAUGAAGCUCACAAAAAAUAGAGAUGGCAUUUUAUUUAUU